AACGAAGGCUGGCGGCAGGCCUAACACAUGCAAGUCGAACGCUGUAGCAAUACAGAGUGGCAGACGGGUGAGUAACACGUGGGAAUCUUCCUAUCGGUACGGAAUAGCUCAGGGAAACUUGGGGUAAUACCGCAUACGCCCUUCGGGGGAAAGAUUUAUCGCCGAUAGAUGAGCCCGCGUCUGAUUAGCUAGUUGGUGAGGUAAUGGCUCACCAAGGCGACGAUCAGUAGCUGGUCUGAGAGGAUGACCAGCCACACUGGGACUGAGACACGGCCCAGACUCCUACGGGAGGCAGCAGUGGGGAAUAUUGGACAAUGGGCGCAAGCCUGAUCCAGCCAUGCCGCGUGAGUGACGAAGGUCUUCGGAUUGUAAAGCUCUUUUGCCAGGGACGAUAAUGACGGUACCUGGAGAAUAAGCCCCGGCUAACUUCGUGCCAGCAGCCGCGGUAA
rnacentral:rRNA from 1 species